GACGAACGCUGGCGGCGUGCUUAACACAUGCAAGUCGAACGGAAAGGCCCUGCUUUUGUGGGGUGCUCGAGUGGCGAACGGGUGAGUAACACGUGAGUAACCUGCCCUUGACUUUGGGAUAACUUCAGGAAACUGGGGCUAAUACCGGAUAGGAGCUCCUGCUGCAUGGUGGUGGUUGGAAAGUUUCGGCGGUUGGGGAUGGACUCGCGGCUUAUCAGCUGGUUGGUGUGGUAGUGGCUUACCAAGGCUUUGACGGGUAGCCGGCCUGAGAGGGUGACCGGCCACCUUGGGACUGAGAUACGGCCCAGAAUCCUACGGGAGGCAGCAGUGGGGAAUAUUGCACAAUGGGGGGACGCCUGAUGCAGAAACGCCGCGUGCGGGAUGACGGCCUUCGGGUUGUAAACCGCUUUCGCCUGUGACGAAGCGUGAGUGACGGUAAUGGGUAAAGAAGCCCCGGCUAACUACGUG
rnacentral:rRNA from 1 species